GUCCUUAGUUACCAGCACGUUAUGGUGGGCACUCUAAGGAGACUGCCGGUGACAACCGGAGGAAGUGGGGAUGACGUCAAGUCAUCAUGGCCCUUACGGCCUGGGCUACACACGUGCUACAAUGGUCGGUACAAAGGGUUGCCAAGCCGCGAGGUGGAGCUAAUCCCAUAAAACCGAUCGUAGUCCGGAUCGCAGUCUGCAACUCGACUGCGUGAAGUCGGAAUCGCUAGUAAUCGUGAAUCAGAAUGUCACGGUGAAUACGUUCCCGGGCCUU
rnacentral:rRNA from 1 species